GGGACAGCGUCUCAGAAAGGGACAGCAUCUCACUCUGUGGCUUUUGGUGCACUUAGAGCUGAAGAUUCUGGAAUUUGGACGCAAGCCCAUGGGGCCUUGUCUGUAGGUGGGAUUCCCGAAUCCUGAUUCCUAGCUUGGCAUCCUGUGCAAGUCACUCCUCCCGGGUUCUUAGGUUUCACAGACUCACUAGAAGAUUCAUCCAGGGUUGAAGUUUGUUGAAAACCUCCUAUGGAAAGGUUCUAGCCACCAGAGAGAAAAGCCACGCACCAAACACAGACUCUGGAAUAAACAAUGCUCCUCGAGACAUGAGCCCUUCCAGGUUGGUUCCCAAAAGAACUCCAUUCACAUGCUGCACAACAAUGUUUUGGUCUACAUAGAAGAUGGUGGUCCACCAGGUGGUGGUAGUGCAGGCCUUUAAUCCCAACACCCGGGAGGCAGAGCCAGGUGGAUCUCUGUGAGUUCGAGGCCAGCCUGGUCUACAGAGCAAGAUCCAGAACAAGCACCAAAACAACACAGCAAAAUCCUGUCUCGGAAAAAAAAGAAAGAAAAGAAAAAAAAAAGGAAGGUGGUGGUCCAUGAGGUCCAUAAUGGACCUGCACAGUUGAUCACCAAGUGAUAUCACAACCAUCCUCACAGUGCAAUGCAUCAUGUACAGGUCUGUUUGGAUGUCAGCAAAGACACAUCCAUUAUGCUUUCAGUCACACAGAAGUAUGGUGCAAGCAGGGCAUGGAAACUCAUGCCUAUAGUACCAGCACUCAGGAGGCUGAAGCAGGAGGAUUGCUAUGACUUCUUGACCAAUCAAGGUUAUAGAAUAGACCCUGUCUCAAAAGAACAAAAAGGGGGUUGGGAGGGACAUGCUCAAAGUAUAUUAUAAACAUGUAUAAAAAUGUCCUUAUGUAACCCAGUACCAUGUAGAAUAAAGACAGAGCAAGGGGGUAAAUUGUUAAAAACAGUACUCAAAAUUAUGUGCAGUACAAUACUUGGUGGUGAUAAUGAACAGCUUUUACUACUUUAUGUAUCAUUGCUACUUCAGAGAGCAUAUUCUUUUUACUUAUUAAAAAAGUUGACUGUAAAACCACGCUGGGUUCUGCAUGCAGCAGACUCCAUAGCUUGUGUUUACUGUAUCUCUUAAUUCCAAGAGACAUCAGAGCUACAUGUCUGUAAUCCUUGUACUUGAGAGGCUGAAACCAAAGGAUCACUGUGAGUUCCAGGCCUGUCUGGACUACAUAGCAAAAUCCUGCCAGACAAAAACAAAAAAAACCAAAAAGUGUGUGUGUGUGUGUGUGUGUGUGUGUGUGUGUGUGUGUGUCUAAGACAACAUCAAGUGAGUGACUUGUAUGUGCUAUUUUGAUUUGUACAAGUAGGCUUUGUACAACAAAUCACCAGAUGAUAGACACAUUUUUCAGAACCUACCCAUUCAUUACAUGACAGAUGACUGUACAAUCCACACCCACAGACAGAUGUGCUACAUAGCAAAGGGGCCCCCGACUUCAGCUAUCCAUUACAACGCAUAUGCAUGUAUGUAUAACAUACAUCUAUUUUCACUCAGAUUAUUUAAUGAUUUAUGACAAUCAGUAAACCAUGUUAGCUCCAUAUGCAGACACUUGGCUGUGGGGCUUGGGCUAUGGCCAUUAGGUUAUUUUGAAAAGAUCUGCUCUUCCAGCUUUGGAAGUGAACUAGAAAAGAGAAAGGCAAACAAACAAAAUACCAGCAUGGUAAAGAAACACUCGAGCUAACACUGACU